rnacentral:rRNA from 1 species
AUGUCGCCGAAGCAGCUGCUGACCACCAUCCUCAUCGUCUUCUCCACGCUCUCCUUCAUCAAGCUCAUGCUCCUCACCCACUCCGCAUCGUCGUCGCCCGCGCGCCCCGGCCGCUCGGCCUGGGACGCCGGCGGGUCGGGCAACGGCACCGCGGGCGCGGCUACGGACGGCCUCAACGCCAAGGAGUUCGCGCUGCUCCGCUCCGUCGUCGCCGCGCGCGCGCCGUGCGGGCUGCUCGUGUUCGGCCUCUCGCCGCAGCUCCUCGCGCUCGCGGCCGUCAACGACGGGCAGGGCGCCGCCACCGCCUUCGUCACCGACAGCGCCGAGGACGCGGCCAGCGCGCGGCGCGUGCUCGCUGGGCGCGGCCCCGGCGGCUCGGCGGCCGUCCACCGGACCACGUACCAGGACCCGGCCGGGGAGGCGUGGGCGCUGCUGCGGCGCGCGCGGGCGAGCCCUGUGUGCGGGCGGCCGACGGGGACGGUGCGCAAGUCCGGCUGCCGGCUGGCGCUGACCUCGCUGCCGCGGGAGGUGCUCGACGCGCGGUGGGACGUGGUCGUCGUCGACGGGCCGAGCGGGGCCGGGCCCGGGGAGCCGGGGCGGAUGGGCGCCAUAUACACCGCGGCCGCGCUCGCGCGCGCGGCGGGGGGCGGCGCGGUGGACGUGGCGGUGCACAAUAUGAACCGGACGGUGGAGCGGUGGUACGCCAGGGAGUACCUCUGCGAGGACAACCUCGUCGCCGCCAAGGGGCGCCUCUGGCACUUCCGUGUCGCCGCCGGCGGGCCGCCGGAUGCGUUCUGCUCGACUGCUCCGGUCCAGAUCUUGUAA